AUUGAACGCUGGCGGCAUGCCUUACACAUGCAAGUCGAACGGCAGCACGGGGGCAACCCUGGUGGCGAGUGGCGAACGGGUGAGUAAUGCAUCGGAACGUGCCCAGUAGUGGGGGAUAACCCGGCGAAAGCCGGGCUAAUACCGCAUACGACCUACGGGUGAAAGCGGGGGACCGUAAGGCCUCGCGCUAUUGGAGCGGCCGAUGUCUGAUUAGCUGGUUGGCGGGGUAAAGGCCCACCAAGGCGACGAUCAGUAGCUGGUCUGAGAGGACGACCAGCCACACUGGGACUGAGACACGGCCCAGACUCCUACGGGAGGCAGCAGUGGGGAAUUUUGGAUAAUGGGCGCAAGCCUGAUCCAGCCAUGCCGCGUGCGGGAAGAAGGCCUUCGGGUUGUAAACCGCUUUUGGCAGGAACGAAACGGCGCAAGCUAAUACCUUGCGCUAAUGACGGUACCUGCAGAAUAAGCACCGGCUAACUACGUGCCAGCCGCCGCCGUAACAC
rnacentral:rRNA from 1 species